UCCUAAUAGUUCGUUACAGAGAGCUAUCCUUAACGAUGCUAAAACCCUAACCGAUAAGCAUAAAGCUUAGGCCAAGAUCAAAGAAUGGAAGAAGCUAAAUCUAAAAUGGAUUCUCCAUCUCUGCCUUAUGUGAACGUCGAUUCUUCUCUUCGAGCUCUCGCCGGUCAAGCUGAAGGUUUCGGCCGCUCUGCCAUCGGCGGUCUUCACGGUCCACUUUAUCACGUUACUACUUUGGAAGAAAUUGAACAAGGAUACUCUAAGAAGGUUUGUAGAAACAGUCUCAUUGGAUCCAGCAAAACAUAUGUCGUGGCUUGUUGAAAACAUUAUUUUUCUUGGUCUUAUUGGAUUCAUCCAUGGAGCAGAAGAUUGGUAUCUUUUUAUUUUGUUUCCUUUCAAUUACAAAUUAGUUUUUUUCCCUUUCUGUCAUACCUGAUUUUUGGUGUUAAGUUCUGGCUUAAUUUUGUUAUAUUAUGAAGUUCCUUCAUUUGACAGAGAUAAAGUUCAUCAUUUGUCUCUUCCAAUCAAUGUAGUUUCUCCAUUAUUUGGAUUUUAGAAUGCUUCUGGGCCGAUAAGAAGUUAUAAGCUUAGAUCAUGUUUUUAGAUGGAAUUAUUAUACUGGAAGCCCUUGGUACUUUUUAUUUCUCUUAUUACAUUUUUUAUUCUUUUAACUUCUGACACUUCCAUUAAUAGUCAGGCAUAAUAAUUAUGGAUGGACACUGCAAUAUAUUUUUGGAGAAACUUUUCAAGUCAAUAUUGGUGCCAAUUUGAGACAACUCAAUGCUGAGAUAUUGCUUGCCUUGUUCUAGAGGUUGCUGGAGAAAUUUUUUACUACGGUUUCAUCAGGUUUCUACAAGGAUGAUGAGUAGGGUUGGCUGUGUUCACAGGAUUUCUGUCUUUUUCUCUUCAUCUAAGUCAAAACAUAUUUUCCAUAAGUAUCUCAACUUUCUAGUCACAAAAUUCAAGAAUUCCCAAGGCAGAUUUUUAUCUAGAUUUUUCACUGAAGAAGGUAUUCCAUUAGCUGUCCAACUGGAAAGCCUUCGCUCUUUCCUGUUUCUUUGUUCUCAAUCAGAUGAAAGUUUACUUGUCCAACUUCUGGCUGAAUUUCCUUCGCUGCUUGUUCCUCUGUCUAGUGAUAUUCAGGAUGUGCGAGCUGCGGUAUCUUAUAUAAUUCAUCCUUCUUUGUUAAAACUAUGACAGGUGAAAGUGGAAAAUGGAGUCACUUUCUCGGGGAACUGCUAAGCUUAAUGGUUGAAUUUAAAGCAUUGUUACUAUCUGAUAGAAAUGUGCUUUUCUCGUUUUUUAUAUUUGUUCUGGGCUGCUCACGCAAUAAUCUUCUACUGCCAGAAACAAUUGGAGAAAGGUUUGAAAAAUCUAAAAAGAAUCAGAUCAUGCAUUUCAUUGUUGGCUUUGCUCUAACCUUCCUUCUUUUGCACUGCUAAACAUCCUUUCUUUGGUCAAAGGAGUGGAUGGUCAACUCUUACAUGUAAAAGAUGUUAAAAUAUUGGCUAGCAUUCUUUUGAAAAGGCGCCAUGAAUAUCAUAUUCAACAUGCAGAGUUUUGCCAAAAGUUGUCAAAGACAGAGGUUUAUAUCCUCUGCCUUCUACUAGAGGACCUGUGCUGAAUUUGUAUCUUCUUCACCUGGUGAAUGUGAAGACCUACUAUUGGAGGUGCUGCAGCAGGGUGAGCCAGCCUCUAAAGAUCCAGCUAUUUUGCUGCCUUUCAUAACUGUCUUGAGGAGUCUCACUAACUCAUUUUUUGGAGCUAUGAGUAAUAAAAAUCAGAUGUGGUUGCAGGUCAAAAGAAAAUUAUUUCAGAGGUCGUUGAUGUGAAGGUGGGAAGACUUGUCUCUCUCUUUCAAAGUUUGGUACCAACUUUGGAGGCCUUUUAUUUUUUUAUUAUUGAUUAUGUUUUGUUUGUAUUUCCAGCUUUCUGAACUUAACUGCAGCUUCAAGCAAUCUGAUUUAGCUAAAAACCAGUUAGAAAGU